rnacentral:rRNA from 1 species
GAGUUUGAUCCUGGCUCAGAACGAACGCUGGCGGCGUGCUUAACACAUGCAAGUCGAACGUGAUUGAGAGCUUGCUCUCAUGAAAGUGGCGCACGGGUGAGUAACACGUGGAUAAUCUGCCUGGCGAUUCGGGAUAACACUUCGAAAGGGGUGCUAAUACCGGAUAAGCCCACGGUCUCUUCGGAGAGUGCGGGAAAAGGGGGCCUCUGUAUAUGCUCCUGUCGCUAGAUGAGUCCGCGGCCCAUUAGCUAGUUGGCAGGGUAAUGGCCUACCAAGGCGACGAUGGGUAGCGGGUCUGAGAGGAUGAUCCGCCACACUGGAACUGAAACACGGACCAGACUCCUACGGGAGGCAGCAGUGAGGAAUAUUGGACAAUGGGCGCAAGCCUGAUCCAGCGACGCCGCGUGAGUGAUGAAGGCCUUUGGGUCGUAAAGCUCUGUCAGCAGGGAAGAACGGCCGUGCGGUUAAUACCCGUGCGGAUUGACGGUACCUGCAGAGGAAGCACCGGCUAACUCCGUGCCAGCAGCCGCGGUAAUACC